UACGUAGGUGGCAAGCGUUGUCCGGAUUUACUGGGCGUAAAGCGUGCGCAGGUGGCGCGUCAAGUCUGGUGUGAAAGCCUCCGGCUCAACCGGAGGAGGCCACUGGAGACUGGCGUGCUCGAGGUGGGUAGGGGUCGGUGGAAUUCCCGGUGUAGUGGUGAAAUGCGUAGAUAUCGGGAGGAACACCAGUGGCGAAGGCGGCCUUCUGGACAGUGACUGACGCUGAGACGCGAAAGCGUGGGGAGCAAACAGG
rnacentral:rRNA from 1 species